ACGGGAGGCAGCAGUGAGGAAUAUUGGUCAAUGGACGGAAGUCUGAACCAGCCAAGUCGCGUGCGGGAUGAAGGCCCUACGGGUCGUAAACCGCUUUUGUACGGGGAUAAAGUCACCCACGUGUGGGUGUUUGUAGGUACCGUAAGAAUAAGGAUCGGCUAACUCCGUGCCAGCAGCCGCGGUAAUACGGAGGAUCCGAGCGUUAUCCGGAUUUAUUGGGUUUAAAGGGUGCGCAGGCGGGAUGUCAAGUCAGUGGUGAAAUGGUGCGGCUCAACCGUAGCAUUGCCGUUGAAACUGGCGUCCUUGAGUGCGAAUGAGGUACGCGGAACGUGUCAUGUAGCGGUGAAAUGCAUAGAUAUGACACAGAACACCGAUUGCGAAGGCAGCGUACUGGGACGCGACUGACGCUGAGGCACGAAAGUGCGGGGAUCGAACAGGAUUAGAUACCCUGGUA
rnacentral:rRNA from 1 species